AUCAACGCUGGCGGCGUGCCUCAGACAUGCAAGUCGAACGCGAAAGUUCCCUUCGGGGGGCGAGUAGAGUGGCGCACGGGUGAGUAACACGUAGGUAAUCUACCUUUGGGUGGGGAAUAACAGCCGGAAACGGCUGCUAAUACCGCAUAAUGCAGCGGCUCGACAUCGAGACAGUUGUUAAAGCGGGGGAUCGCAAGACCUCGCGCCUAAAGAGGAGCCUGCGGCGGAUAGCUUGUUGGUGAGGUAAUGGCUCACCAAGGCAUCGAUCCGUAGCGGCCUGAGAGGGCGGUCGGCCACACUGACACUGACAUACGGGUCAGACUCCUACGGGAGGCAGCAGUCGGGAAUUUUGGGCAAUGGGCGCAAGCCUGACCCAGCAACGCCGCGUGAAGGAUGAAA
rnacentral:rRNA from 1 species